rnacentral:lncRNA from 1 species
AUAUCGUUGGGGGAAUGCUUUCGUUUCGUGGUGCUUUGAAGUGCAGCAGCAGGCAUUGCAAUCUCAAGGGCCUCGGCAAUCAUUUUAAUCAUGGUUAAUUGCGCUGUGUUCGGAUGCAAUAACGAGUCGCGGUGGAAAGCUGACUCUGGUGAGAACACGAAGAAGCUUAGCUUUUUUCUGUGCCGAAUGUUGUUCGUUGGCAGUGCAGCCAGACCUUAGAGAUCUCAACGAAGCGUCGAGCGGAAUGGUUUCGUUGCCUCUACCGGGGUGACAUUAACACAGACGCUACCCACUACAAAGUCUGCAGCGAGCACUUCGUUUCUGGCAGGCCAUCCUACUUAAUGGAUCUGACGAAUCCGGACUGAGCGCCAAGCUUGCACCUAGGGUAUGACACAAAGUCAACAACUCGGUCUGAAGAAAGGCACCAGCGACGUUGCAAGAGGGCUGCGACCCUUGACUACAAUGCUGAAUGCGCAGCAGAGCGCUGUGAACAGUACUGUCACAAGUAAAAUGGCUUAUUCAUACAAGGCACACCACUUGCAAGCCGGCAUCCAGGAAGAUUCUUUCAAGAUGACUAUCUGCUGGUGUCCACACAAAAAAGUCGCAAUAGCUGCGCUGGCAAACAAAACGCUGCAUU